rnacentral:rRNA from 1 species
UACGUAGGGGGCUAGCGUUGUCCGGAAUCAUUGGGCGUAAAGCGCGCGUAGGCGGCCCGGUAAGUCCGCUCUGAAAGUCCAGGCUCAACCCUGGAAAGCGGGUGGAUACUGCCGGACUAGAGUUCGGAAGAGGCGAGUGGAAUUCCCGGUGUAGCGGUGAAAUGCGCAGAUAUCGAGAGGAACACCUGCGGCGAAGGCGGGUUGCUGGGCUGACACUGACGCUGAGGCGCGAAAGCUAGGGGAGCGAACGGG